rnacentral:rRNA from 1 species
GCUGGCGGCGUGCCUAACACAUGCAAGUCGAACGCGAACGGAAUCUUCGGAUUCCAAGUAGAGUGGCGCACGGGUGAGUAACACGUGGAUAACCUGCCCUAUGAUCUGGGAUAACAUUUCGAAAGAAGUGCUAAUACCGGAUAAGCCCCCGGAAUCUUCGGAUUCAGAGGGAAAAGAUUUAUCGUCAUAGGAUGGGUCCGCGGUCCAUUAGCUAGUUGGUGGGGUAAUGGCCUACCAAGGCCGCGAUGGAUAGCUGGUCUGAGAGGAUGAUCAGCCACACUGGAACUGAGACACGGUCCAGACUCCUACGGGAGGCAGCAGUGGGGAAUUUUGCGCAAUGGGGGAAACCCUGACGCAGCAACGCCGCGUGAAGGAUGAAGGCCUUUGGGUCGUAAACUUCUGUCAGAGGGGAAGAAAUGCCCGCAAGGGAGCUGACGGUACCCUCAAAGGAAGCACCGGCUAACUCCGUGCCAGCAGCCGCGGUAAUAC